rnacentral:rRNA from 1 species
CCUACGGGAGGCAGCAGUGAGGAAUAUUGGUCAAUGGCCGGAAGGCUGAACCAGCCAUGCCGCGUGAAGGUCAGUGCCCUAUGGGCGUUAAACUUCUUUUGUGCGGGAGCAAUAAUGGUCACGUGUGGCCAGACGAGAGUACCGUACGAAUAAGCAUCGGCUAACUCCGUGCCAGCAGCCGCGGUAAUACGGGGGAUGCAAGCGUUAUCCGGGUUUAUUGGGUUUAAAGGGUGCGUAGGCUGGGAGGUAAGUCAGCGGUGAAAUGCCCCCGCUCAACGGGGUGAAGUGCCAUUGAUACUGCCUGGCUGGAAUGCGGAUGCCGUGGGAGGAAUGUGUGGUGUAGCGGUGAAAUGCAUAGAUAUCACACAGAACACCGAUUGCGAAGGCAUCUCACGAAUCCGCGAUUGACGCUGAUGCACGAAAGCGUGGGUAUCAAACAGGAUUAGAUACCCGUGUAGUC